rnacentral:rRNA from 1 species
UACGGAGGGUGCAAGCGUUGUCCGGAAUUAUUGGGCGUAAAGAGCGUGUAGGCGGCCCGAUUAGUCCGCUGUGAAAGUCCAGGGCUCAACCCUGGAAUGCCGGUGGAUACUGUCGGGCUAGAGUCCGGAAGGGGCGAGUGGAAUUCCUGGUGUAGCGGUGAAAUGCGCAGAUAUCAGGAGGAACACCAAUGGCGAAGGCAGCUCGCUGGGACGUGACUGACGCUGAGACGCGAAAGCGUGGGGAGCGAACAGG